GUGAGAAUUGCUGAAUGACUACUUCUGGACACAGAUAUCAUGCUGAGAACUGUAUAUCAAAAUGAUUUAACAGAAUAUUAAUGUUCAUAGAAGACAUGUCAAUAUUCCUGAGGGCAUGCAGCCCUGGAAUAGAGAGACAGAUGGCAGAGGCAAGCAGUGUGGAAUGUUCUUAAUGAGGAAGACCUUCUCAAAGCUGAUGAUGUAAUAGGUAUGAAGGAGCAUUUCAUGGGAGUCACGGUCCCAUUCCCCUGUGUCAGGGCACACAGAGCUCCUAGCCUUGCAUCCUGCGUGAGAGGGGACCUGGAAUAUUCCCUGAUCCCCACAUGGUCCUGGAUUGCUUGGUUCCCCCUCAAUCAUGGUCCUCCCUGUGCCGCAUGGGGUCUGCAGCUUCUAUGGGCUGAAUUUAUAUCAGUGAUUAACUAGAGCUGGACCACAACCACACCACAGGCAAGCCCUGGGCACUGAGGACAUUAAGAGCAGCAGACAACAUCUCGUCCACUGCUUCUGACUCUGCUCCACAAGCCAAGGCAGCUCCCACACAGCAGGCAUCCAGCCUAACUCCCAGCAGGGAGAGUGUGAGAGUCUGUGGAUGAGCCCACAGGGGCUACAGGAUUCUGUGGGAAGACAUCUGGUAGCUUCCGGAGCAGCUGCAGCAGCCAGGACACAUGGAACUACAUUGGAGAUCUGCAGGAAACAUCUCAAGGAAGAACAAGAGAGGCUGGAGAAGAAUGGGGAAGGGUUUGAUCCCUGAAGUUCCUCAGUGUCCACUAGCACAGCACUCGUCUUUGGGAGGUGACAUUUUUCACUCUUCCAGACUGUUGCACCAAUCAGAAUUACAGGCUCUGUGGAUUAAACUGUAAAAGAGGACAGUUGCUCUUGGGCCAAUAUGGAUGUUCCUGACCUCUCAGCAAGCUCACUGCUGACUUUUGAGGUCUCUGGAGGGUGAGCAAAAUGAAGACACACAGAGUAGCCUCAGGUUGAGUCAGCCAGGCCCAGAGGGCUCAGU
ensembl:lncRNA